AUCAUAAUCCCUUAUACUGCUCAACAAGU
rnacentral:piRNA from 1 species